CCUUGCUGUCAGUCCAGAAGGGUUCUCAACAAUCUUGUCUUGUUAGCUGCUAUUUGAAAACAUUAGCAUCUCUGCUAUGUGGCUAGUAGCAUUCUGGCAAAGAGCUAUUUUACAGAAAUGACUUCUAGAUGACUCACGAAGCCGACAACACGUCUGUCAUCUCCUAGUACCAGGGAAAGGACAGUAGAGACAGUCGUUGUCAGGGAAUGGUGUCUUUCUCAGGAACACUGAGAUGGCUGAACUAGCAGCAUAGGAUUUUGGAGACAGUAGUUGGUAGGAGACAGAGUAGAUGUUGGUUUUAUUCCUCUUAAAUGGCCGAAGGAACAUAACGCUUACAAAGCCCUGCCUUUUCUACCAGCCAGUUCAUCAGCCCUUUCUUAGCUUUCAUCAGUUGCAAAGGUGCGCUGCCUCCCACAAGUUCAGCUGGACCCUCUGCCCACGACUCUCACCCUGGCGUUUGCUUCUCAGCUCAAGAAGACAUCUCUCAGUCUCACGCCAGAUGUCCCAGAGGCAGACCUUUCUGAAGUGGACCCCAAGCUCGUGUCUAAUCUGAUGCCCUUUCAGAGAGCUGGAGUCAAUUUUGCCAUAGCCAAAGGAGGCCGCCUGCUGCUCGCUGACGACAUGGGCCUGGGG
rnacentral:lncRNA from 1 species